rnacentral:rRNA from 1 species
UACGUAGGGUGCAAGCGUUGUCCGGAAUCAUUGGGCGUAAAGCGCGCGUAGGUGGCUUUGUAAGUCCGUUGUGAAAGUCAAAGGCUCAACCUUUGAAUGCCGAUGGAUACUGCGGAGCUAGAGUACGGAAGAGGGAAGCGGAAUUUCCGGUGUAGCGGUGAAAUGCGUAGAUAUCGGAAGGAACACCAGUGGCGAAAGCGGCUUCCUGGUCCAGCACCGACGUUCAGGCACGAAAGCGUGGGGAGCAAAC